rfam:Oryza nivara chromosome 10, whole genome shotgun sequence.
GUGAGCCUAGUGAUAGGAGACUAUCUAGCUUGGUUCGGAGAGCACUUGUUGGGUUUAAGAUUAGUAUUUUGCUAAAUGUUACGGCCUAAAUGCUGAACUAUUGACCCUAC